UGCAACAUUCAAAGCCUUACAGGACUGAGGUGCUUCUAGCUGGGCAAAGAGGAGAGGUGAGGCUUAAAUCCUGACGCAUACCUAAAAGCUAGACUUUAAUUAAGGUCACUUGAAUAUGGGAAGUAGCUGACUGCUGGCGGAUCAAGUAGCUCCACUCAAAUCGACCUAUCCAUGUCAAGGCAGGCAAAAGCUCCAGCAGCUCUGCAUCCAGUGGGACAAGACAUCAGAAGAUGGCCGUGCCACUCAUGGAUCCCAAGGCAGCAGCUCCAAUCUGUGCUGAGCCUUAGAGCUCUCUCCCAUCUGUUUCAGGGCUAAGUUCAUGGUAUAAGCAAGUGGAGAUCAAAGCACUGCAGUCCCACAAGCAAGCGAGCAUUUGUCUCUUGAACUGCACAAGGAAGCACUGGAAGGCUGACAAAGAAUCAUGCUGCUGCAGGGCUGGGGCCAGAACUCCGCAGAGAUGAACCACUCCAAAUUGCUUCAAGGGACACCAGAUCACAUUUUGGAAGGUGGAUUGUUAGGUGAGCUGCACAAACCCACCUGGACAGCUUAGGACUGG